rnacentral:rRNA from 1 species
UACAGAGGGGGGCAAGCGUUUAUUCGGAAUUAUUGGGCGUAAAGGGCGCGUAGGCGCCUGACAAGUGGAAGGUGAAAUCCCUCGGCUUAACCGAGGAACUGCCCUCCAAACUGUCUGGCUUGAGACCGGGAGAGGUGAGUGGAAUUCCCAGUGUAGCGGUGAAAUGCGUAGAUAUUGGGAGGAACACCAGUGGCGAAGGCGGCUCACUGGACCGGUACUGACGCUGAGGCGCGAAAGCGUGGGGAGCAAACGGGG